AGAGUUGGUGGCUAGGGUUCCGGCGCUUUCAAAAAGCGCGCUGGUCCGAGAGCUACCACCGGUUGGGGAGACAUCCCGCCGGGUGCACGGCGGGAGAAAAGCCCGGGAGAC
rnacentral:sRNA from 2 species